UAAUAGUAGAUAAUUAUUUUUAUUGAACUAAAAAAAUGUUUCCUAGAAAUUAUAUACCUACAGUCCAAAACGACGUUUUCCGGGUCAGCUAGUAAUAAUAUUUAAACAAAUAUGUAAAAGUUAAUCCUAGGAUUAUCGAGUCACAACAGCUAUUAUAUAUAUGUAGCUAAUUACGAGGCAGGAGAUAAAUGCUCAAAAAGAAGAUUUAAAAAAAAAAAAUUAAAGACAGCUCGUCUGAUACCAAGAGGUAAGGAGUUCCAAAGCAGAAGACUGCACAGUAAAGGAAGAGUGAUAGAAUAAAUGUAAUAUUAAGUAGAUUAAUAAAAUAAAACUGUUAUUAUUUUUUAUUGUAUUAUUAUUUAACAUAAAAGAUAUAAAGCAGUUUUGGUGUAGUGGUAUCAGCAUGUUAUUCUCAUCCUUAGGGUCGUAGGUUCGAACCCCGGCUGUUUACCAAUGUAAUUUCUGUAUAUUUUUUUAAAAAUCGCUCGUACGGUGGUGUAUAAAAUUGUAAAGAAACCGAGUUGCCAUAUACACAAAAGUCGGCGGGGUAUGUCAGGCACAGAAGGCUCAUACGUGCUACGUGCCUAUUUGAUGAACAAAACCAAGGAUCACGAAACAUACAAAAACCUGAAAAGGUUGUAGCGCCACUUAUUUUUUUAUAAAGAAUAAAUCAGAAAAAGAAGUUAUCAGCCUGUUAAUAAAGUGAAACAGUUUCGAUUGUAGUUGUACAAUAUUGAUUGAUGCAUGUAGUAAUUUAAACUCGCUAAUUGGUUAAAAAGAAACAUUGUACCAAAGAAAUAAUAAACAUACAGUUUAUUCAUAAAAACUAAAUCAAUUUAAUUUAAUCACCCUUGUUACUAAAGUACUAAUUUGUCUCUUUCUGUCAAAUUGUGGUAAAGCUGUGAUGAAAAGAGAGAUGUGUACUUUAGUCAAAACGAUGCAAUUAGAUAUUUUUUGAAUUGUCUCUUAGGACGAGUUUUAAAUAAUUUUACCAGACUGAGAUCGCGGACGAACCCUGGUCGAGCCUAUAGUGUAGAUCCAGUUAAAAUUAUCUUUUAUCUAGAAAUUCUUACUACGACUUUCGAAAAUACUUCUCACGUAAGUACUUGUCUAAAAUACUGAAUUGAAAUUAUGUAAUUUUUACUUCACUAAAAAUUACUUCAUUUUUCUACGGUCCAUUUAAAACUCAUAAUUAUUCAACAAUAAUUUCUUUUUUUGUUUACAAUUGUUUAUAUAAUUUGUUUUUAUCUGUCUUAUAUUAUUUCUGUUUUCUUAGAAAAAGAGGGGUUUCUUACGUUCGCGUAAAGAAGACGACAGAGGCGUUCAGUAACUCAGUAACUUCCUAGGCGUAGGUGCGACCAGGUCUUCAGCGUAUGUGCCGAAGUCUGCCCGAGAGAGGGAACUUGAUAGAAGAUCAGAUGAUAGCGAUCAGCUUAAAUCGUGGGGAUCGGCAGAUAAUAUACAGGUACUGUCUGCGUGUUAUUGUGUUUAAAAAUUAAAUUUUGUGUACAUGUCUAAUCAAAUGAUACAGUUAUAAUAAUUUUAGUAAAAACAAAUAUUAUGUCUAGGACAUUGUCAAUACAUAAUAUUUUCUGAAACAACGCCAUCUAUGAAUGUAGUAUAUGAUUAGUUCACGUGUCUUAAAUUUCAAAAUUAAUGGUCCAAACUGGCAUCGACAACUUAGUUUAUUCGUUUUCCGCUAGAUGUCUCUAUAUCAAAUUUCUAAACUUACGUAAUAUCCAAUAGAUGUCACGACUGUUUCUUUUAACUUCGUUUUAACACAGUAAAACUACUUAAUAUACAAAACAGUGUUUGUUCGAACACUUAUAACUCGAGAACGGUAGGAUCGAUUUGAAUGAUUUAUAGAAUAGCAGAAUAUGUAACUAUUAAAACAUUGGUUGGUUGAAGAAUAACAUACGAUUCCAUCAUUUAAGGUUCAUUCCGUCGAUCCGGUAAACUCUUCCCUCAUCUGAACAUAUUUAAUUAAAGAUAGUGAUGAGAUAAUGACGUAUUUUAGAUGUAAAAAAUGUAGAAUAAUGUGAGUAAUGAAAGAUGAUCGAUAUACCUAUUUGGCUGACAAAUUUUGUAAUGUUGAGAAGCGCAAUUUGGUGAUAGGGAUUCGGCUUUCAACUAUUACGUCACGCAAUUUUUGGAGAUAAUUGAGCAACGCGCCGUAACGUUUUACUAUACCCAAGUGUAUAAUAAUUGUGUAAAUAUUAUUAUUCAGGCAGAAUACAGAUGUUAAUGAUAAUUGUCAUCAGACACUAUCAGCAUGUGGCAAACACAAACAUGUCAUGUAUUGAAACGUGUAUCGUGUUAUGGUGGGUGGCCAGGUAAGCGGUUAUUAAAAUAAGACGACAUUACUGUUAUUCAUAAACAUAUGUUCAGCCAUGACAGGCGGUCCGAGACAUACUACAGGAAACGGAAACCCAUAGAUAAUAUUAAAUCAUAGAUACGUAACAUCUCCCUUAUUAAGAAAAGAAAACAUGGCAUGAAGUGGAACAUAGUACGUACGUAAGUAUACACUUUUGUUUUUUUUUACAUUGACAAAAUUCUUACAUACUAUUAGACUGAAAUAAUGGUACGGAACAUUGACUUGACUGACAUUUUCAAUUUUGACAGUUCUCACAUUGACGUCUACUAAAUUGACAUAACUGUGUUUUGACAGCUACACAAAACAAAAUUAGGUUAAAGACAUUAAACAAUACAUUUACAAACUAAGUACAAAUUAUGAACUUAAUCUAGAUUCUAGACUAAUUACCAAAAUCUUCGGGGCUUUAUGAUAGCUCUGCCGAAUGAAGAAUAAGUUGUGUGAAAAAGAGGGGUUUCUUACGUUCGCGUAAAGAAGACGACAGAGGCGUUCAGUAACUCAGUAACUUCCUAGGCGUAGGUGCGACCAGGUCUUCAGCGUAUGUGCCGAAGUCUGCCCGAGAGAGGGAACUUGAUAGAAGAUCAGAUGAUAGCGAUCAGCUUAAAUCGUGGGGAUCGGCAGAUAAUAUACAGGUACUGUCUGCGUGUUAUUGUGUUUAAAAAUUAAAUUUUGUGUACAUGUCUAAUCAAAUGAUACAGUUAUAAUAAUUUUAGUAAAAACAAAUAUUAUGUCUAGGACAUUGUCAAUACAUAAUAUUUUCUGAAACAACGCCAUCUAUGAAUGUAGUAUAUGAUUAGUUCACGUGUCUUAAAUUUCAAAAUUAAUGGUCCAAACUGGCAUCGACAACUUAGUUUAUUCGUUUUCCGCUAGAUGUCUCUAUAUCAAAUUUCUAAACUUACGUAAUAUCCAAUAGAUGUCGCGACUGUUUCUUUUAACUUCGUUUUAACACAGUAAAACUACUUAAUAUACAAAACAGUGUUUGUUCGAACACUUAUAACUCGAGAACGGUAGGAUCGAUUUGAAUGAUUUAUAGAAUAGCAGAAUAUGUAACUAUUAAAACAUUGGUUGGUUGAAGAAUAACAUACGAUUCCAUCAUUUAAGGUUCAUUCCGUCGAUCCGGUAAACUCUUCCCUCAUCUGAACAUAUUUAAUUAAAGAUAGUGAUGAGAUAAUGACGUAUUUUAGAUGUAAAAAAUGUAGAAUAAUGUGAGUAAUGAAAGAUGAUCGAUAUACCUAUUUGGCUGACAAAUUUUGUAAUGUUGAGAAGCGCAAUUUGGUGAUAGGGAUUCGGCUUUCAACUAUUACGUCACGCAAUUUUUGGAGAUAAUUGAGCAACGCGCCGUAACGUUUUACUAUACCCAAGUGUAUAAUAAUUGUGUAAAUAUUAUUAUUCAGGCAGAAUGCAGAUGUUAAUGAUAAUUGUCAUCAGACACUAUCAGCAUGUGGCAAACACAAACAUGUCAUGUAUUGAAACGUGUAUCGUGUUAUGGUGGGUGGCCAGGUAAGCGGUUAUUAAAAUAAGACGACAUUACUGUUAUUCAUAAACAUAUAUUCAGCCAUGACAGGCGGUCCGAGACAUACUACAGGAAACGGAAACCCAUAGAUAAUAUUAAAUCAUAGAUACGUAACAUCUCCCUUAUUAAGAAAAGAAAACAUGGCAUGAAGUGGAACAUAGUACGUACGUAAGUAUACACUUUAGUUUUUUUUUACAUUGACAAAAUUCUUACAUACUAUUAGACUGAAAUAAUGGUACGGAACAUUGACUUGACUGACAUUUUCAAUUUUGACAGUUCUCACAUUGACGUCUACUAAAUUGACAUAACUGUGUUUUGACAGCUACACAAAACAAAAUUAGGUUAAAGACAUUAAACAAUACAUUUACAAACUAAGUACAAAUUAUGAACUUAAUCUAGAUUCUAGACUAAUUACCAAAAUCUUCGGGGCUUUAUGAUAGCUCUGCCGAAUGAAGAAUAAGUUGUGUGAAAAAGAGGGGUUUCUUACGUUCGCGUAAAGAAGACGACAGAGGCGUUCAGUAACUCAGUAACUUCCUAGGCGUAGGUGCGACCAGGUCUUCAGCGUAUGUGCCGAAGUCUGCCCGAGAGAGGGAACUUGAUAGAAGAUCAGAUGAUAGCGAUCAGCUUAAAUCGUGGGGAUCGGCAGAUAAUAUACAGGUACUGUCUGCGUGUUAUUGUGUUUAAAAAUUAAAUUUUGUGUACAUGUCUAAUCAAAUGAUACAGUUAUAAUAAUUUUAGUAAAAACAAAUAUUAUGUCUAGGACAUUGUCAAUACAUAAUAUUUUCUGAAACAACGCCAUCUAUGAAUGUAGUAUAUGAUUAGUUCACGUGUCUUAAAUUUCAAAAUUAAUGGUCCAAACUGGCAUCGACAACUUAGUUUAUUCGUUUUCCGCUAGAUGUCUCUAUAUCAAAUUUCUAAACUUACGUAAUAUCCAAUAGAUGUCGCGACUGUUUCUUUUAACUUCGUUUUAACACAGUAAAACUACUUAAUAUACAAAACAGUGUUUGUUCGAACACUUAUAACUCGAGAACGGUAGGAUCGAUUUGAAUGAUUUAUAGAAUAGCAGAAUAUGUAACUAUUAAAACAUUGGUUGGUUGAAGAAUAACAUACGAUUCCAUCAUUUAAGGUUCAUUCCGUCGAUCCGGUAAACUCUUCCCUCAUCUGAACAUAUUUAAUUAAAGAUAGUGAUGAGAUAAUGACGUAUUUUAGAUGUAAAAAAUGUAGAAUAAUGUGAGUAAUGAAAGAUGAUCGAUAUACCUAUUUGGCUGACAAAUUUUGUAAUGUUGAGAAGCGCAAUUUGGUGAUAGGGAUUCGGCUUUCAACUAUUACGUCACGCAAUUUUUGGAGAUAAUUGAGCAACGCGCCGUAACGUUUUACUAUACCCAAGUGUAUAAUAAUUGUGUAAAUAUUAUUAUUCAGGCAGAAUGCAGAUGUUAAUGAUAAUUGUCAUCAGACACUAUCAGCAUGUGGCAAACACAAACAUGUCAUGUAUUGAAACGUGUAUCGUGUUAUGGUGGGUGGCCAGGUAAGCGGUUAUUAAAAUAAGACGACAUUACUGUUAUUCAUAAACAUAUAUUCAGCCAUGACAGGCGGUCCGAGACAUACUACAGGAAACGGAAACCCAUAGAUAAUAUUAAAUCAUAGAUACGUAACAUCUCCCUUAUUAAGAAAAGAAAACAUGGCAUGAAGUGGAACAUAGUACGUACGUAAGUAUACACUUUUGUUUUUUUUUACAUUGACAAAAUUCUUACAUACUAUUAGACUGAAAUAAUGGUACGGAACAUUGACUUGACUGACAUUUUCAAUUUUGACAGUUCUCACAUUGACGUCUACUAAAUUGACAUAACUGUGUUUUGACAGCUACACAAAACAAAAUUAGGUUAAAGACAUUAAACAAUACAUUUACAAACUAAGUACAAAUUAUGAACUUAAUCUAGAUUCUAGACUAAUUACCAAAAUCUUCGGGCCUUUAUGAUAGCUCUGCCGAAUGAAGAAUAAGUUGUGUGGACGAGUUUUAAAUAAUUUUACCAGACUGAGAUCGCGGACGAACCCUGGUCGAGCCUAUAGUGUAGAUCCAGUUAAAAUUAUCUUUUAUCUAGAAAUUCUUACUACGACUUUCGAAAAUACUUCUCACAAAAAGAGGGGUUUCUUACGUUCGCGUAAAGAAGACGACAGAGGCGUUCAGUAACUCAGUAACUUCCUAGGCGUAGGUGCGACCAGGUCUUCAGCGUAUGUGCCGAAGUCUGCCCGAGAGAGGGAACUUGAUAGAAGAUCAGAUGAUAGCGAUCAGCUUAAAUCGUGGGGAUCGGCAGAUAAUAUACAGGUACUGUCUGCGUGUUAUUGUGUUUAAAAAUUAAAUUUUGUGUACAUGUCUAAUCAAAUGAUACAGUUAUAAUAAUUUUAGUAAAAACAAAUAUUAUGUCUAGGACAUUGUCAAUACAUAAUAUUUUCUGAAACAACGCCAUCUAUGAAUGUAGUAUAUGAUUAGUUCACGUGUCUUAAAUUUCAAAAUUAAUGGUCCAAACUGGCAUCGACAACUUAGUUUAUUCGUUUUCCGCUAGAUGUCUCUAUAUCAAAUUUCUAAACUUACGUAAUAUCCAAUAGAUGUCGCGACUGUUUCUUUUAACUUCGUUUUAACACAGUAAAACUACUUAAUAUACAAAACAGUGUUUGUUCGAACACUUAUAACUCGAGAACGGUAGGAUCGAUUUGAAUGAUUUAUAGAAUAGCAGAAUAUGUAACUAUUAAAACAUUGGUUGGUUGAAGAAUAACAUACGAUUCCAUCAUUUAAGGUUCAUUCCGUCGAUCCGGUAAACUCUUCCCUCAUCUGAACAUAUUUAAUUAAAGAUAGUGAUGAGAUAAUGACGUAUUUUAGAUGUAAAAAAUGUAGAAUAAUGUGAGUAAUGAAAGAUGAUCGAUAUACCUAUUUGGCUGACAAAUUUUGUAAUGUUGAGAAGCGCAAUUUGGUGAUAGGGAUUCGGCUUUCAACUAUUACGUCACGCAAUUUUUGGAGAUAAUUGAGCAACGCGCCGUAACGUUUUACUAUACCCAAGUGUAUAAUAAUUGUGUAAAUAUUAUUAUUCAGGCAGAAUGCAGAUGUUAAUGAUAAUUGUCAUCAGACACUAUCAGCAUGUGGCAAACACAAACAUGUCAUGUAUUGAAACGUGUAUCGUGUUAUGGUGGGUGGCCAGGUAAGCGGUUAUUAAAAUAAGACGACAUUACUGUUAUUCAUAAACAUAUAUUCAGCCAUGACAGGCGGUCCGAGACAUACUACAGGAAACGGAAACCCAUAGAUAAUAUUAAAUCAUAGAUACGUAACAUCUCCCUUAUUAAGAAAAGAAAACAUGGCAUGAAGUGGAACAUAGUACGUACGUAAGUAUACACUUUUGUUUUUUUUUACAUUGACAAAAUUCUUACAUACUAUUAGACUGAAAUAAUGGUACGGAACAUUGACUUGACUGACAUUUUCAAUUUUGACAGUUCUCACAUUGACGUCUACUAAAUUGACAUAACUGUGUUUUGACAGCUACACAAAACAAAAUUAGGUUAAAGACAUUAAACAAUACAUUUACAAACUAAGUACAAAUUAUGAACUUAAUCUAGAUUCUAGACUAAUUACCAAAAUCUUCGGGCCUUUAUGAUAGCUCUGCCGAAUGAAGAAUAAGUUGUGUGGACGAGUUUUAAAUAAUUUUACCAGACUGAGAUCGCGGACGAACCCUGGUCGAGCCUAUAGUGUAGAUCCAGUUAAAAUUAUCUUUUAUCUAGAAAUUCUUACUACGACUUUCGAAAAUACUUCUCACAAAAAGAGGGGUUUCUUACGUUCGCGUAAAGAAGACGACAGAGGCGUUCAGUAACUCAGUAACUUCCUAGGCGUAGGUGCGACCAGGUCUUCAGCGUAUGUGCCGAAGUCUGCCCGAGAGAGGGAACUUGAUAGAAGAUCAGAUGAUAGCGAUCAGCUUAAAUCGUGGGGAUCGGCAGAUAAUAUACAGGUACUGUCUGCGUGUUAUUGUGUUUAAAAAUUAAAUUUUGUGUACAUGUCUAAUCAAAUGAUACAGUUAUAAUAAUUUUAGUAAAAACAAAUAUUAUGUCUAGGACAUUGUCAAUACAUAAUAUUUUCUGAAACAACGCCAUCUAUGAAUGUAGUAUAUGAUUAGUUCACGUGUCUUAAAUUUCAAAAUUAAUGGUCCAAACUGGCAUCGACAACUUAGUUUAUUCGUUUUCCGCUAGAUGUCUCUAUAUCAAAUUUCUAAACUUACGUAAUAUCCAAUAGAUGUCGCGACUGUUUCUUUUAACUUCGUUUUAACACAGUAAAACUACUUAAUAUACAAAACAGUGUUUGUUCGAACACUUAUAACUCGAGAACGGUAGGAUCGAUUUGAAUGAUUUAUAGAAUAGCAGAAUAUGUAACUAUUAAAACAUUGGUUGGUUGAAGAAUAACAUACGAUUCCAUCAUUUAAGGUUCAUUCCGUCGAUCCGGUAAACUCUUCCCUCAUCUGAACAUAUUUAAUUAAAGAUAGUGAUGAGAUAAUGACGUAUUUUAGAUGUAAAAAAUGUAGAAUAAUGUGAGUAAUGAAAGAUGAUCGAUAUACCUAUUUGGCUGACAAAUUUUGUAAUGUUGAGAAGCGCAAUUUGGUGAUAGGGAUUCGGCUUUCAACUAUUACGUCACGCAAUUUUUGGAGAUAAUUGAGCAACGCGCCGUAACGUUUUACUAUACCCAAGUGUAUAAUAAUUGUGUAAAUAUUAUUAUUCAGGCAGAAUGCAGAUGUUAAUGAUAAUUGUCAUCAGACACUAUCAGCAUGUGGCAAACACAAACAUGUCAUGUAUUGAAACGUGUAUCGUGUUAUGGUGGGUGGCCAGGUAAGCGGUUAUUAAAAUAAGACGACAUUACUGUUAUUCAUAAACAUAUAUUCAGCCAUGACAGGCGGUCCGAGACAUACUACAGGAAACGGAAACCCAUAGAUAAUAUUAAAUCAUAGAUACGUAACAUCUCCCUUAUUAAGAAAAGAAAACAUGGCAUGAAGUGGAACAUAGUACGUACGUAAGUAUACACUUUUGUUUUUUUUUACAUUGACAAAAUUCUUACAUACUAUUAGACUGAAAUAAUGGUACGGAACAUUGACUUGACUGACAUUUUCAAUUUUGACAGUUCUCACAUUGACGUCUACUAAAUUGACAUAACUGUGUUUUGACAGCUACACAAAACAAAAUUAGGUUAAAGACAUUAAACAAUACAUUUACAAACUAAGUACAAAUUAUGAACUUAAUCUAGAUUCUAGACUAAUUACCAAAAUCUUCGGGCCUUUAUGAUAGCUCUGCCGAAUGAAGAAUAAGUUGUGUGGACGAGUUUUAAAUAAUUUUACCAGACUGAGAUCGCGGACGAACCCUGGUCGAGCCUAUAGUGUAGAUCCAGUUAAAAUUAUCUUUUAUCUAGAAAUUCUUACUACGACUUUCGAAAAUACUUCUCACAAAAAGAGGGGUUUCUUACGUUCGCGUAAAGAAGACGACAGAGGCGUUCAGUAACUCAGUAACUUCCUAGGCGUAGGUGCGACCAGGUCUUCAGCGUAUGUGCCGAAGUCUGCCCGAGAGAGGGAACUUGAUAGAAGAUCAGAUGAUAGCGAUCAGCUUAAAUCGUGGGGAUCGGCAGAUAAUAUACAGGUACUGUCUGCGUGUUAUUGUGUUUAAAAAUUAAAUUUUGUGUACAUGUCUAAUCAAAUGAUACAGUUAUAAUAAUUUUAGUAAAAACAAAUAUUAUGUCUAGGACAUUGUCAAUACAUAAUAUUUUCUGAAACAACGCCAUCUAUGAAUGUAGUAUAUGAUUAGUUCACGUGUCUUAAAUUUCAAAAUUAAUGGUCCAAACUGGCAUCGACAACUUAGUUUAUUCGUUUUCCGCUAGAUGUCUCUAUAUCAAAUUUCUAAACUUACGUAAUAUCCAAUAGAUGUCGCGACUGUUUCUUUUAACUUCGUUUUAACACAGUAAAACUACUUAAUAUACAAAACAGUGUUUGUUCGAACACUUAUAACUCGAGAACGGUAGGAUCGAUUUGAAUGAUUUAUAGAAUAGCAGAAUAUGUAACUAUUAAAACAUUGGUUGGUUGAAGAAUAACAUACGAUUCCAUCAUUUAAGGUUCAUUCCGUCGAUCCGGUAAACUCUUCCCUCAUCUGAACAUAUUUAAUUAAAGAUAGUGAUGAGAUAAUGACGUAUUUUAGAUGUAAAAAAUGUAGAAUAAUGUGAGUAAUGAAAGAUGAUCGAUAUACCUAUUUGGCUGACAAAUUUUGUAAUGUUGAGAAGCGCAAUUUGGUGAUAGGGAUUCGGCUUUCAACUAUUACGUCACGCAAUUUUUGGAGAUAAUUGAGCAACGCGCCGUAACGUUUUACUAUACCCAAGUGUAUAAUAAUUGUGUAAAUAUUAUUAUUCAGGCAGAAUGCAGAUGUUAAUGAUAAUUGUCAUCAGACACUAUCAGCAUGUGGCAAACACAAACAUGUCAUGUAUUGAAACGUGUAUCGUGUUAUGGUGGGUGGCCAGGUAAGCGGUUAUUAAAAUAAGACGACAUUACUGUUAUUCAUAAACAUAUAUUCAGCCAUGACAGGCGGUCCGAGACAUACUACAGGAAACGGAAACCCAUAGAUAAUAUUAAAUCAUAGAUACGUAACAUCUCCCUUAUUAAGAAAAGAAAACAUGGCAUGAAGUGGAACAUAGUACGUACGUAAGUAUACACUUUUGUUUUUUUUUACAUUGACAAAAUUCUUACAUACUAUUAGACUGAAAUAAUGGUACGGAACAUUGACUUGACUGACAUUUUCAAUUUUGACAGUUCUCACAUUGACGUCUACUAAAUUGACAUAACUGUGUUUUGACAGCUACACAAAACAAAAUUAGGUUAAAGACAUUAAACAAUACAUUUACAAACUAAGUACAAAUUAUGAACUUAAUCUAGAUUCUAGACUAAUUACCAAAAUCUUCGGGCCUUUAUGAUAGCUCUGCCGAAUGAAGAAUAAGUUGUGUGGACGAGUUUUAAAUAAUUUUACCAGACUGAGAUCGCGGACGAACCCUGGUCGAGCCUAUAGUGUAGAUCCAGUUAAAAUUAUCUUUUAUCUAGAAAUUCUUACUACGACUUUCGAAAAUACUUCUCACAAAAAGAGGGGUUUCUUACGUUCGCGUAAAGAAGACGACAGAGGCGUUCAGUAACUCAGUAACUUCCUAGGCGUAGGUGCGACCAGGUCUUCAGCGUAUGUGCCGAAGUCUGCCCGAGAGAGGGAACUUGAUAGAAGAUCAGAUGAUAGCGAUCAGCUUAAAUCGUGGGGAUCGGCAGAUAAUAUACAGGUACUGUCUGCGUGUUAUUGUGUUUAAAAAUUAAAUUUUGUGUACAUGUCUAAUCAAAUGAUACAGUUAUAAUAAUUUUAGUAAAAACAAAUAUUAUGUCUAGGACAUUGUCAAUACAUAAUAUUUUCUGAAACAACGCCAUCUAUGAAUGUAGUAUAUGAUUAGUUCACGUGUCUUAAAUUUCAAAAUUAAUGGUCCAAACUGGCAUCGACAACUUAGUUUAUUCGUUUUCCGCUAGAUGUCUCUAUAUCAAAUUUCUAAACUUACGUAAUAUCCAAUAGAUGUCGCGACUGUUUCUUUUAACUUCGUUUUAACACAGUAAAACUACUUAAUAUACAAAACAGUGUUUGUUCGAACACUUAUAACUCGAGAACGGUAGGAUCGAUUUGAAUGAUUUAUAGAAUAGCAGAAUAUGUAACUAUUAAAACAUUGGUUGGUUGAAGAAUAACAUACGAUUCCAUCAUUUAAGGUUCAUUCCGUCGAUCCGGUAAACUCUUCCCUCAUCUGAACAUAUUUAAUUAAAGAUAGUGAUGAGAUAAUGACGUAUUUUAGAUGUAAAAAAUGUAGAAUAAUGUGAGUAAUGAAAGAUGAUCGAUAUACCUAUUUGGCUGACAAAUUUUGUAAUGUUGAGAAGCGCAAUUUGGUGAUAGGGAUUCGGCUUUCAACUAUUACGUCACGCAAUUUUUGGAGAUAAUUGAGCAACGCGCCGUAACGUUUUACUAUACCCAAGUGUAUAAUAAUUGUGUAAAUAUUAUUAUUCAGGCAGAAUGCAGAUGUUAAUGAUAAUUGUCAUCAGACACUAUCAGCAUGUGGCAAACACAAACAUGUCAUGUAUUGAAACGUGUAUCGUGUUAUGGUGGGUGGCCAGGUAAGCGGUUAUUAAAAUAAGACGACAUUACUGUUAUUCAUAAACAUAUAUUCAGCCAUGACAGGCGGUCCGAGACAUACUACAGGAAACGGAAACCCAUAGAUAAUAUUAAAUCAUAGAUACGUAACAUCUCCCUUAUUAAGAAAAGAAAACAUGGCAUGAAGUGGAACAUAGUACGUACGUAAGUAUACACUUUUGUUUUUUUUUACAUUGACAAAAUUCUUACAUACUAUUAGACUGAAAUAAUGGUACGGAACAUUGACUUGACUGACAUUUUCAAUUUUGACAGUUCUCACAUUGACGUCUACUAAAUUGACAUAACUGUGUUUUGACAGCUACACAAAACAAAAUUAGGUUAAAGACAUUAAACAAUACAUUUACAAACUAAGUACAAAUUAUGAACUUAAUCUAGAUUCUAGACUAAUUACCAAAAUCUUCGGGCCUUUAUGAUAGCUCUGCCGAAUGAAGAAUAAGUUGUGUGAAAAAGAGGGGUUUCUUACGUUCGCGUAAAGAAGACGACAGAGGCGUUCAGUAACUCAGUAACUUCCUAGGCGUAGGUGCGACCAGGUCUUCAGCGUAUGUGCCGAAGUCUGCCCGAGAGAGGGAACUUGAUAGAAGAUCAGAUGAUAGCGAUCAGCUUAAAUCGUGGGGAUCGGCAGAUAAUAUACAG